UGGGGAAUAUUGCACAAUGGGCGCAAGCCUGAUGCAGCCAUGCCGCGUGUGUGAAGAAGGCCUUCGGGUUGUAAAGCACUUUCAGCGAGGAGGAAGGUGGUGAGCUUAAUACGCUCAUCAAUUGACGUUACUCGCAGAAGAAGCACCGGCUAACUCCGUGCCAGCAGCCGCGGUAAUACGGAGGGUGCAAGCGUUAAUCGGAAUUACUGGGCGUAAAGCGCACGCAGGCGGUUUGUUAAGUCAGAUGUGAAAUCCCCGGGCUCAACCUGGGAACUGCAUUUGAAACUGGCAAGCUAGAGUCUCGUAGAGGGGGGUAGAAUUCCAGGUGUAGCGGUGAAAUGCGUAGAGAUCUGGAGGAAUACCGGUGGCGAAGGCGGCCCCCUGGACGAAGACUGACGCUCAGGUGCGAAAGCGUGGGGAGCAAAACAGGAUUAGAUACCCUGGUAGUCCACGCUGUAAAACGAUGUCGAUUUUGGAGGUUGUGCCCUUGAGGCGUGGCUUCCGGAGCUAACGCGUUAAAUCGACCGCCUGGGGAGUACGGCCGCAAGGUUAAAACUCAAAGGAAUUG
rnacentral:rRNA from 1 species